GCUCUUAUGGCGCAAUUGGCUAGCGCGUCUGACUGUUAAUCAGGAGGUUCGUGGUUCGAGCCCACGUAGGAGCG